rnacentral:rRNA from 1 species
UACGGGGGGAGCAAGCGUUGUUCGGAAUUAUUGGGCGUAAAGCGCUUGUAGGCGGCUUGUUAAGUUCCGCGUGAAAUCCCCAGGCUUAACCUGGGAACUGCAUCCGAUACUGGAUGGCUAGAGGUUAUUCGAGGAAAGUGGAAUUCCUGGUGUAGUAGUGAAAUGCGUAGAUAUCAGGAGGAACACCCGUGGCGAAGGCGGCUUUCUAGGAUAUACCUGACACUGAGAAGCGACAGCUAGGGGAGCAAACAGG